rnacentral:lncRNA from 1 species
UGAUUGUUCAGAUUCAGAAGAUGAUUGCGUGGCCAAUUGGCAAAGUAUCAUGAUUCAAUUUCUAGCACGAAUGCAUAUUUCUCGUUGUCGAUUUCUGCUGCAGAUGUCGAUGGUAAAAAAGAGAGAAAAGAACCAUGCCAAUUUCUUGCUUUUUCGAGCUGAAGGAUAAUGAUCAGAUGAGUGCAGGUUUCGCUUGGGCAAAACAGGCAAAGAACAUCAUCGUCGGCGAAGAAGAACAGCGGCGGCGAACUGUACCUGUUUUGCACGAGGUUUUGGGUCGAUCCGACGAGCAUUCAAUUGGCUUUCCUUCUCUGCAACAAACUGCAAUCAAACCGUCACGAUCCACAGCCACAUGAUCAUCAUCAAUUCAUCACGCAGCAUGAACUCCUUUCAUUUACUGACCGAUCCAUGCCAGGACAGCAGGUUGGUUUGGUGUCUAUCCAAAUCUUGAAUCUUUUUGGGACCUGGCUGGCUCCUGUUCAUCCAACCAGUGACAAAACUCUGAUAAAAUCACCAUCGAUUCAAGAUCCAUUCAUUUCGCCCUGUAUAUAUGAUGGCAAUGGUUUCCCUUUCUCUCUAUUGUUUCUGCGUUCUCCUCAUGUGAAAAUAAUACUUUGCUCUAUUUAAACUCGAAUAUGAUGCAAUUUAGCAUUGGUUCUCGAACGAAUUUAACUUAUGCCUAGCAAGCAAAACACAGAUUAAUUACUCACCACUUGUUCAGUGUAAGACUCAACCAUUACAUCGACUUUUUUUUAAAGUCUGAAUCGACUAGUAUAUAGUUACAUAACAACGAGGAGUUACCACCAAGACAAGAAGCUAAUUAACCUCAAGAACAAACUUAAUUAGUAGAGUAUGUGUUGAUGCAGAUAGCAAGCAAACCGGCCAUGGAGGCGAGGCGAUGGAUGCGGUGGCUAGUUGCCGGCGGGGCCGACGUGGUUGACGAGGGCGAGGGCGUUGCUGGUGACCUGCGCGACCUCGACGAUCUUGCCGCGGAUGGCGGAGCGGGUGGCGGCGUCCACUCCGCNNN